GAUGAACGCUAGCGGCAGGCCUAAUACAUGCAAGUCGAACGGGUGGUCGCAAGACCCCUAGUGGCGCACGGGUGCGUAACGCGUAACCAACCUGCCCCGAUCUGGGGGAUAGCCCGCCGAAAGGCGGAUUAAUACCGCAUAUACCCGCAGCCUGGCAUCAGGCAACGGGGAAAGAUUUAUUGGAUCGGGAUGGGGUUGCGUGACAUUAGCUAGUUGGCGGGGUAAGGGCCCACCAAGGCGACGAUGUCUAGGGGACCUGAGAGGGUGAUCCCCCACACUGGCACUGAGAUACGGGCCAGACUCCUACGGGAGGCAGCAGUAGGGAAUAUUGGGCAAUGGGCGAGAGCCUGACCCAGCCAUGCCGCGUGCCGGAUGAAGGCCUUCUGGGUUGUAAACGGCUUUUCUCAGGGAAGAAAAAGACCUUGCGAGGUACACUGACGGUACCUGAGGAAUAAGCACCGGCUAACUCCGU
rnacentral:rRNA from 1 species